UCCCUGGUGGCUCAGACGGUAAAGGAUCUGCCUGUAACGUGGGAGACCUGGGUUCGAUCCCUGGGUCCGGAAGAUCCCCUGGAGAAAGAAAUGGCAACCCAUUCCAGUACUCUUGCCUGGAAAAUUCCACGGAUGGAGGAGCUGGUAGGCUACAGUCCAUGGGGUCGCAAAGAGUCAGGUUUAUGGCACUAAGGGUUUAUGGCACAGAAGGUACUAAGAAUGUUUGCUCUAUAAGAGACAAGAGAAGGAUAAAAGAAAGUAUAGAACAACGCCCUUCCACUAAAAUGGUGAUCUUUAGUUCUUAUAUAUAGAAUUAAACUCAAGAGUUUCUUUUUUUAACAACAAAAAAAGAUGUUUUGAUAUCAUAUUAAUCAUCGAUAUACAAAACUUGUGCUUUCUUUUUCAUGAAACUGGACCCUAAAACUCUGGUUAAAAAAGAACUUCUGUUUCUCCUUAUGCUCCCCUCAUUCAACCAACCAACUGCACACACACAGAGUAAUGUAGAUCUCCAGUGUUGUAACCGGAGAGAAGAGACCUGGAAUUUCCAUGGAGAUGGAUGUUGCUGACUAGAGAUGCCCGGGGUUGCCUUGGUGCUCUAGAGGCACCAAAGGAGUUUAUUAGUGAACAUGGGAAAUGUAAGUAACUCGUCUUGGGAGGUUGACAGAG
rnacentral:lncRNA from 1 species